GACAGAGGGGGCAAGCGUUGCUCGGAAUUACUGGGCGUAAAGGGCGCGUAGGCGGGAUGGCAAGUCGGUCGUGAAAUCCCUCGGCUCAACCGAGGAACGUCGAUCAAUACUGCUGUUCUUGAGGAUUGCAGAGGAGACUGGAAUUCCCGGUGUAGCGGUGAAAUGUGUAGAGAUCGGGAGGAACACCGGUGGCGAAGGCGGGUCUCUGGGCCAUUACUGACGCUGAGGAGCGAAAGCGUGGGGAGCGAACAGG
rnacentral:rRNA from 1 species